AAUCCAGCAACAUUGGUAUCUCUGAUGUAUAUCAUUUUAGAUUAGUCAGUCUGGCAAUAAUAAUGCCAAUUUAUGAGCCUUCAGGACACUGAAGUCAUUAAGGUCCCUGAAAAUGGCUACAAUA
rnacentral:snoRNA from 1 species